ensembl:lncRNA
CGGAGGGAAGGGAACCUAGCGUGUCGAGUGCUUACUCUGUGUGGCAUUGUGCUAGGUGUUGUUUAAAAUUAGCACAUUGAAUCUCAACAAGGUGUGAGACACAUAGCCUGAUUUCUCAUUUUAUGGUGGAAGAAACUGAGGUUCAGCCAUCUAUUUAUUUCCUUGACUCACACAGCUGGAAUUCUGAACAAAAACUCAAACCUACAUCCAGCAUGAAGGUCUCACUCGCCGUCCAGAAGGUAGGAGCAGAAUAGGGGUGGAUGGCUUUGCUUUCUCUCUGUCUAUUAAUAUUAACGAGGGCACCUUUUACAGUGAAAAACCAUAAAGAAAGCUCAUUAAGGGCAGCGACACCCCCAGCACACAACUCUCCCUAGAACCACAAAAUGGGCCUGUUACAGAGGCCUGGGAGCUAAUUCUCUCCAGAUGUUUGCAAAGCGAGCAGGACCAGAAGGUGGGAGCCGAAAUUACUGAACACUCCAUAAGGCGCUGAUGGAGCAGGGCCCCAGGCUUGGCUCAGCAACAAGUGAACACAGAGACCCUGUUUGUUCAGAGGAACUUCAAAGCCCCCAUAAACUCCCAGGAAAGGUGAGAGACAACAACGCCACAGAGCCCAGCGUUCCUGCAAAGUCAGACUGGAGAUGAACUUGAGACGCUGCCCCUGGAGCUUAAGAAGAUGACAGAGGGGCAGGUCUGGUGAGCAGAUGUCUGCCUUUUGUUUAUGCCCAUUCUUAUACACAGUAAGUGCAUGCUGCAUGGGCACAUGUCUCUAGCCAGGCCAAAGAGGACACACCAAUUUACAGUCGUGCAUCACAAUGCUGCGGACACAUUCCGAGAAAGACGUCGUCAGGCGAUUUUGUCGUUGUGCAAACAUCACAGAGUGCACUUACGCAAACCAAGAUGGUACAGCCCACUAUGCACCUAGGCUGUAUGGUACUAACCUCACGGGACCCCUGUCGUAUAGGUGGUCCGUUGUUGACCGAAAUGUCAUUACACAGCACAUGACUGUAAAUACCGAGUUAGAAAAAUAGAAAGAGAAAAUGCCCUUUCUGUGCUAAGUAUUACUCUACACCAAAACCAUAAAAUUACUAAUGAGACAUAGCAGGUCCAAAUAAAGUUGUGCAUGUUUAUCUUCAUUUUUCUCUUCCUUCCCUCCCUUUAAAAGUGCGACAAACAGCAUGGAGUUACUGCUAAAAUUAUAACUAAAGAGGAGGAAGAAAGACUAAUUAAUCAAGUGUGGUAUCAGUCGAAAGUUCGAUAUGUUAUCUCUUUGGUCACCAGACUCCUGGCAGGAGAAAGGCUUCCAGGAUCCAGUGUGGGUGUUUUUUCCAUUGCUAAUCACCGUGACCUGCCAGACCACAGCUGCAAGGUUAAAAGAACCCUCACCUUCGCAGAUGCCAGGUAUCCCCCUGCAGAGGCUGUUGAAAGGCAGGCCAAGAUAGUCUUGCAACACCCACCACCCCAGUCAACCCACGUCAGAAAAGAAAUGCAGAGGCAACAGGAGGCAGGCACUGCUCAAGAGGCUGGAGAUGGAGCGGUGUAGCACAGGUCUGCAGGAAUUCGCUGGCUCUUCAGAGCAGGGCCCUAACCGUGGCUUCGGUAGUGCUGGCUGCUGGUUCCAAGCUAACAGAACAGCCACUCUUGGACCAUUGCUGUGGCAGAAGGAGAGAAAGAGCAUGAAGGAUCAUACACCAGCCCUUAAAGCUUCCAUGCCAAAGCAGCAUACUUCACCUCGACUCACAGUUCAUCAGCCAAAGCAAGUCACUGGGCUUCCCUGAUUCCAACGUAGCAAGGAAAUACAACCCUACCAUGUGCCCAGAAGAAGAACCAGAAAUACAGACGAACAGUCCUGGAACAGCAGCAGCGACUCAGUCAUCAUCUGAGACCUUCCCAGCCACGCUGUGAAAAAGAGCCAGCCUCCCCACCACCUCCCGCUUCCUAUCCCACUUACUGGCUUCAUUUCUCUCUUCAGGACCUUUCACUAUCUGCACACUCUAUACGUCGCUUGUUUAUCUUGUUUACGUCAUUCUCCAUUAGAAUGUAGACUCGAAGGGCAAAGAGAUUUUCCCUGUUUGAUUCAGUACUGUGUUCCCAGUGCCUAGAAUUGUCACUGCUACAUAGAGGCUUUAGACAAAAAUGUGCUGAACAGACGAGCGAAUGACAAGAAGGAUACAAUUAGUGAUCCACGUGAGAAAUACGAUGAUCUUGGGAUUUGGCUUAACCAGGUUUGGUACCACCCGAUUCCUCGACAAAUUUGAGUAUGCAUCUACUGUAUGCAAGGCUGUAUGCAUCAAGGAGAACAUCCCCAUCCUUGAACAUACCAGAUACAGGGGGAGUUAGCACCUUUCUUACUUUACACCGUUUCUGCCAAUGGAGGGCAAGGAGCUUCUUGACUUUUGUGGAAACAAGAGUAACAAUCGUCUUGUUUUCAGCUAAGAUCUGGCUGCAAUCAAGCUUUCUUGUCCAGAAAUACUAGCAAGUCUCAUAGGUGACAAGCACGCUGCCUAAUUUCUCCUGCCUGCUCCAUUUGCAUUUCAUCACAUGUGCAGACCCUCCGUAAACAAAACUCGCAGCAUCUUAUUCUGAAAAGUUGUCAUCAGCCUCUGUGCAUCAUGGUCUUCCUAAAUGAAACAAAUAAGGCAUUUCUCAUUUGUAAUUAAAUAAUUCCUUAGAAGGCUCUGCCUUCUACCAAAGAUUCACGGGGAAUCCAUUUUCACACAGCGAUAAUUAUACUCAGCACUGAGGGUAGACACUGUGGUGUGGGCUGUGGAUAUUUAUCAGCUCAUCAGAAGCAAAUCAUAAAGGAACUUAGUACGGAAGCUAAAAACAGAUCUUAGUUAGUAGGAAACGAAGUUAAGAUGUUAAUGCUGAAUCCCAGGCUAGAUUGCUUCCCCACUUAGGGAUAUUAUUGCUGAGUCAAUUAUUUCCACCAAGAUUUUUUUUUUGCAAGGACCACAUCCAGUUGUGUAAAAUAUUUGAGGGAGCAGUAAGUACAUUUGCGUAUGAUAUGCACAUCAUUUGUAUAGGAUCACAUACCAUCUUCAGGAAAAUUCUAAGUGAAAAUGAAACUAGUUAUAUUUUCUCUUAUUAUGCAUUCCUUAGCGUCUGUGCCCCAGUCUUCCAGGUUCCCCACUGCCUACAGGAGAAAAUGCAGUGUCCUCUGCCUGGUGCCCAGUCCACCUGUCCUACCAUCCCUUUCCUGUUCCCUACGUCCUCUUAUGCACCAGUCACACACAAUCACACACUGUUUUCCACCACGCUGUGAGAGGUCACUCAGUUGACUGUCCACGAGCCACUUUCUCACUUUCUUCUUUGCUAGCCGAACCAUAACCGUCUCCCUUCUGGCGUUUGUGCUCUGUAUGCUCAGGGGCCUCACCGAGCUCCAGGGCGUGGGCUUUGACUCGUCCACAGCCAGCCUGGCGGAUCCACGCCCCUGGGAAGUGACUGGUUUCGGCACGGUCAUGUGCUGCAGUCCUGGCCAAUGAGAAGUAAAGGGAAGCUGUUAGGAGAUUUCUUGGAAAGUUUCCUGAGUCUUAAAAGAGGACACAGAAAAGACAGAGACUCACCUCUUUUCUGCUUCUGGACGGGGCUACGGAAGGAGGCGAUGCCUGGGAGAGCUUCAACAAUAUGACCAUGAGAGUGGAGGGUGCUCAUGAGACAGCAGAGCAGAAAGAUGGAAGGAACCUGGGAUGUGGAAGAGGUCAUCGUGUCCCGGCUUAAGCAAUCAUAAGAACAACUUUACGACUUCAGUGCCAGGCACUGUCAUGAGCGUUUUAUGUACAUUAACUUAUUCGGUCCUCACAACUGUCAUAUGCAGUGGAUGUUCUUGUUAUUUCCAUUUUACGGUUGAGCAAACUGAAGCAGAGAGGGUUGAAGUGUCAAAGUCACUCUCCUUCUUUGUUUUUUCAGCGUUUUAUUAUAGAAAACUUAAAGGAUAUACUAAAGUAGAGAGUAGCAUAAUGAAUCCCACGCACACAUCAGUCACCCAGUUUAAAUAAUUAUCCAGGGGCCAGCAGGGUGGCCCAGGCAAUGAGUUUGUGUGCUCCAUUUCUGUGGCCCAGUGUUUCACCGGUUCGAAUCCUGGGCGUGGACCUAGCACCGCUCAUCAGGCCAUGCUGAGGCGGCAUCCCACAUGCCACAACUAGAAGGACCCACAACUAAAAGAUACAACUAUGUACUGGGGGGUUUGGGGGAGAAGGAAAAAUUAAAAAUUAAAAAACCUUUAAAAAAAAUUACCCAUCAGGGCCAGUCUCGACUCACUCAUGCCCCUGCCCCUUCUUCCUCUGCCCCAGGUUAUUUUGAAGCAAAUCCCAGACCUCACAUUGUUUCAUUCUGGAUCACUCCAUGCGUGACAAAAACCGAAAACUACUUUUAUCUGGGUCUUCUGUUACAACUAAAACGAGUCUCUAAAUAUUAAUAACUUUCUCCUCAUAAAAAUCUGAAAAUGUAUAUAAGCUGAAGGCAAAAUAUAAAAAUCACCCACCAUGUGACCACCUGGCAAUAACGGCUAAUAAUAACUUGGUGUUCUUCCUCUAAGUAUUUUGCAGACUUUUGUUUUGAAUACGAGAUUGCUUUUUUCCACUUAUUUUGGCCUGAAUGUUUCCCAUCCUCGUUCCAGUCCCAUGGUCUCUGGGUGCUGGGCCCCCUCUGUCCUUUUUUCUUCCAGGAACCUGACCAAGUGCUUGCUGACCUCCACCAUUGGACGUCAGUGACAUGCGGCAACUGUCUGUUCAUCCAUGUUUCUGACCGGACCAGCGCACAAUGAGGGCAGGGACUCUUUCUGAGUUGGCUUUUUUUUUUAAUCUCUGGUGUCUAUAUUGUUAUAAGAAACAACCUGACAAGACUCAAUAUUGCUGGGAUGGUGUUGACCACGGGGUGGCCUGCAUCAUGCGUGUCCCCUUUGCAAGAAUCCAGCGAGGAAACUUUCCUCUCAAAAGCUGUGUUGCUCCUGAAAAACAGGUGUGUUCUUUAGUGGACACUGCGAACGCUUGUUGUAUCAGUGUGUGUGUCCAUUUUCGCUUUGGUCACUGGAGAGCUCAGAGCCGAAGUCGUGCUUCUAACUCUGGGAAGGAUUUUCAAUUUUCAAGGCAUGAACUCUCCCACUAGUCUCACUUCGUUUUCCCUUCACCAUGAAUUCUUUAUAUUUGGAAUAAUGAUGUGGCAUCGUGACAGGACCACUUUCGACAUGUUAAUUCAUGAGCUUUCUUCUCUUUUUCCUUCCAUGAACGUAGCUUGCAGGUUCUGUGCCUUUUUGCUUCCAGGUGGUAACAUUAUGGUUGACUUCCCUUUCUGGAUUUGUUUAGAAAAGUCUGAAGUCUUUAAGGAGGUUGACCCAUGUGUCCUGCAUGAAGAGAAAGCGCUUCUGAGGAAAUGUGGAAAGGGGGGCGUUUCUCCCAGAUUGACUCAGAGAUUCCCAGUCUCCUUGGUUCUCUGGGUUUAGAGAGCAGACGGAAGCAGGACCCCAGGUGGGAGCAGUGGCCAACCUGCGUGCCCAGCAGUAACAGGCUUGGGUUAGAAUUGUUUGAUUUAUAGCAAACGAAGAAAUAGAAUAUUUCCUGCAUGACUGAAUUUGUGGACUGGGAUUCAUAAUCAGUGCAGAACCUAAUGAAUUCGUGAAAGUCAUCCCCAAUCCUUUAUGGAACGAGCCAGUGAGCAGACAGACACUAGAGAAGAAAACCGCCAUCAUUGUGGAAAGACUUGAGCUCUGGAGGCAGACCUGUCAUUACGGUACUUCAGGCCCUUGGUGUUUUCCCGUAGGUUUCUCCACGUGCCUCCCAGCUGUCGUGGCAGCGCCCGGUCUUGCCUGCUGCAGUGCGUCCUUCGCCCAGCUGUCAGGGUUGUCUUUUUCAAAUGCAGGUUGAUUUGGGUCACUCCCCUCCUUCAAGUUCUCCAUUAAAUCCCAUUUGCCCUCCAGAUAAAGCUCAAGGCUAGAAGGGCCUUCAUCGCUUGCUUCUUGCCUACCUUGGUAUCCUCAUCUUGUAAAAGCAUCCCCAUUCCUACCCAAACUGGACGCUCCAGCAAUAGUGUCCCGCUCGCUGUUCUGCGAACGUGCCAGCUCCUUCUUCUCUUCUUCUCGCGCGUGCUGGUCUUCUUGCUCAUGAUGCCUUUGCACUGACCGAGUCAUCCCUCUUCAGAACUCUUCCCACGUGCCACUGUCCUCCAGGCAGCCUUCUCCAACUCUGCCCUCUCCGCGUGGGUUAAGUGUGGCAUCUCUGCUGUGUGUUCCCAGAGGGUCCUAGGGUGACUCUGUGCACUUAUCACAGUGAUUUGAACUGCAUGUGUCACAGUAACAAAGGACAUGCAAGCUUGUUUACAACUGGGGUUCUGGUAUCCACAGAUGUUUGAUGCAUGGUAGAGCAGGAGCAGGAAGACAUUGCAGGGAGGGUCGUCGGGCGUCUAGAGGAAAUGAGGAAGAAGUCUGGUACUGUGGUUCACACUUGGCAACAGGGCCUGGGGGCAAAGAGGUUUGAAGCCCAAUGUGAGGACGUGUCAUCUAUGCCUGAGGCAGAGGUGCUAAACUCUGCCCCAAUAUUCAUUCUCUUCCUUUUAGUAAUGAAAACCCCUCCAGGUUUUCAGGUGGUCACAUGGUUAUCCAGCUAAAGAUGACAUUUUCCCAGCCUCCCUUGUGACUAAGUUCAGGCCAAUGGAAUGGAAGUAGAAGGGACGCAUAGAAGCUUCUCUGUCACUACUCUAAAGACAGAGCUGCGUGCUCCGACCCCCUCUCUACCCUUCCUGCAGGCUGAAAUGCAGAGAUAGGUGAGGAAACCUGGAUUCCCGCUUGAUCCUCUGGCGCAGAGCUGCCCACCCAGGCUGGAGAGCUUGCCUAGCUCAUUGUGGUCCAUGAGAAUGAAACAAACUCCUGCUAUGUUUGGUAAAGUCUUAACUAUUUUCCAAGUAUCCCCUCCAGAAAAGUGUUGUGGGAUUUACCAAUGGGAAGGGGAACCCAGGGUGCGGUGGGGGAUUAUAAGAAAUCCUGCUGGAGUGCCUCUCCUGUAGCAGGCCCUGGGCAGUGGGGGGCCAUGCAGGAUCCCAUUAAGGCUUCAUGUUGAGCCCACAGGACACUCAGCAUUUAGACUUCUGCCCACAUGGGCCUUGACUGCCAAGCGAGUAAGGACCAAACAGCACCACUUAUGGAAGAAUUUUGCUUCCCUCUUCCCCAUCCUUCUUUAAGACCAAAAAGCGCUAGAGAAGAAAGGGGAGGGAGGAAAGUGCGAGAGAAGAGCACACUCCCUUCCACGGUGGACAGCAGGUCUCCUGAGUCAGGAGGGAGAUGAUGAGGUUGGGUAUGAGUUUGAAGCUUUAAGCUGGAUCAAUUGUAUUACAUUUCAUUUUUUUGUAUCUGAAAAUGAGCAUAAAGUGCUAAAUAAAAUGUUAUUUAGGGCAGAGGGAGUGAGGUUCAACAGAGCUUUUUUGGGGCAGUCACUGGAAGAAAUAGUAUUUUUCAUGUUUGGACUCUACUCAGUUUAGACCAGUCAAUAAACUGGUUACAAACUGAAAAAAAAAAAAUAGCUAGAAUUAUAGCUCUAGCCCUCCUCCCACCCUGGUUUGGCCGAGGCCCGCUACCUUAGAAAAGGCACAUGUGUGUAUCUGUGUGAAGAGGGGCUGGAGACAGGGGUGAGUACCGGAGAUCCAGACGCGGGAACCCCAGCGGCUCAGAGGCCGAGGGCUGGUCAGCAGCGCCCUGCAGGGCUUCAGAGGGCAGGUGCUUCUCCUCCACACCCACCCGUGUUUCCUCUUUGUGGGACGAGCUCAGUGGGAGUAACUCUCUCGCCUCUCUAGGGCUCUUUACUCUCUCCCUCCCAGGACAGCUGGAAAACUUCACUGAUUGGCGACUUGGGGAUGAAUAAAGGGCACAGUCAGCGGAACUCCUCCCUACUCCUUCUGAGAGAGAAAAUUCUGAGCUCAGCACAAUUCUUGUCCUAAAGAAGUGUUUCAUAAUGAUGCUCAUACAAAUUCUUGUUACAACACAGCUAACAAGAGCCAGCUAACCGCCGACUAGAAGCCAGCCCUGGUGGUCUCGUGGUGAAGAUCUUGCGCUCUCACUGCCACGACCUGGGUUCCUGACCCCAUCGGGGCACCACACCACUUGUCUGUCGAUUGUCGUCCUGUGGCGGCUGCAUGUUGCUGUGGUGUGAAAGCUAUGUCACCGGGAUUUCAAGUGCCAGCAGGGUCACCCAUGGUGGACAGGUGUCAGGGAGCUUCCAGACUAAGACAGGACCUGGCCACUCACUUCCGAAAAGAUGGGUCACGUAAACCCUGAGAACAGCAGCGGCACAGGAAGGUGAGAGGGUGGCCCAAAGGACUGGGCAGGGACACAGUGUCACUGGGAGUUGCAGUCCACUCCACGGCGCUAACGUCAAAGGAGACUAGAAGUCAAAGAAGCAAAGAGUGAGCGAGCGGCGGUGGGGGACCGUUAGAGGCGGGCGCCCGCAAUCAGCAGGAUGACGUCUCACAUGCGGCCAGUGAGGAUGCUCCGGAGAACCUGCGCGUUCCCACGUCCCACAGACUUCUGAGCACCUCCGUGUGCCAGCCUCUGUUCUGGGCCCCCAGGGGCUGUCGGCAAACAAUCAGUCGAGGUCUCUGUCCUCAGGAAGCUUGCAUUCCAGCAGGUUUCUCGUUGAACAGCAAACCCGUGGGUGUGUUUGGGAGGUUGGCACACGCCUCGUGGAUUGUGGUAGCUACAGCUCACUCAUGGCAGUGACGGCGAGGAUAACUGAGAGCCAUUCUGGGCCCACCGUGGGCCAGGCGCCGCCCCUGCCUUCUGCACGGCAGCUUCUUCGGCCCUCAUUGAAACCCUCGGGUUCUCUUUUCUCCUGAACCGGUCACUAUGGCUAAGCAGCGUGGCAUGCUCUGAUGGUGAAUCAGCCCGCUGUCUGGGACAGCCCGCCGUGCCCUCCCCUCCCUGCCACACCUGCACCUCCUUGGGUCUGAAACAAAUGUCAUCGGUCCCCUCAGAGCCAUGUUGAUGGAGCAGAUACUGGGCUGGGGUGAGGGUCGGCUUGCCGGAGGAGGUGACACUGGGCAGACCAGUAAACAUGUCCCAAGUCACACACAGGCCAUUCUAGGACGUCAGCACUCAGAGUCCAUAACGCACAUGUUGUCCGCGGCCACAAAGGGCCAGGAAUGACAGGCACCGCCAAGGCUACUUGGUUGUUUAAGCAAUCAGAGUUUAUUGAUAAAGGGAACAGAACAAGCAGGGAAGCAAACAACAAAUCAGUGCUUACAACAUCCACACCACAGUCAGCCGGGAAGUCCCCAUAGUUUGUACAGUGGGCGGGAAUGCCCAUUGUCCUGGUCUGAGGCAAAGCGUCCUUUCCUCAGUGAGACUCCCAAUUAUUCUAUGCCUAUGACUCCCUUUUAUCCUAAGGUUUCUCUAGGUUCUGACUCAGGGUUUCAGACAUUUAGAUACUCUGAGUUAUUUCUUCUUGUUCCCAUGGAUGGAGUGUUUUUAUCUUUUUUGUUCCCACGGAUGGGAUGUUUCUAAAGUCCCAUCAGGUGCCCGUUGGGGUGGCCAGCCCAGACAAGGAACAUGACGCAGGACAUAUUCUUUGUAACUUGUGCCUUAGAGUCAGGGCCGAAGUGGCCAUCUUUGGCCCUGAGCCAGACACAUUCCUUCACGUAGGGCCCAGGCCCAGUGUCCUUGGAAGGCGGGGAGAUCAAUGAACUCCAUACAGCACGAGUGUUGUGGCAGGAUGGAGCAGAAAUGGGACCACUGUAACCCCAUUUUAUAAAUGAGAGCACCAAGGCACAAAGGGCCACGGGACUUGCUCAGGUUCCCACACCUAAUAAAUGGUGGAGAUGGGAUUUUGGUCUGACUCUCGAGGCCACGCCUUCAUCCCUGCACUAUUCCGAUAAAGUCAUAAAGACAACUUUCCUUAUCAUAGUUCAAGGGUUUGAAGAUGCCUGUCUUUCCCAUUUUAACAUCUCUAUGCUGGGAUGUGUCAUAUGAUAGAUGUGACAAGGAUAGGCAGCAUCAGUUUAAUUGGCAGCAUUCUGUCUUCCUCCAUGGCACAUAAAAUAAUAGUGCAUCUGGCAGAAAAGUCACCUGAGGGGAUGAAGCGCUGUGUUCUUUCAACAAACAUUGAUAAUGUGCCUACUCCAGACGGCUGUACCAGGCGUGCUGUGCAGAGGAGUGGGAGACACAGAGUCAGAGGAUUAAGGAUCGCCCACAAUGCAACGUGAGUGUGCAGUGGAGUCAUGCCUGGGAGGGUGUGGGAGCACAAAGGGGGACACUAGCCAGAGGGCUCUGGGAAGCCUUCCCAGAGGAUGGAAUAUGGGUGGUUGGAGGAAGGAGGUAAGUUUGGGGGGACAAAAGUGGCUCCAUCCUGAGGGAGGAUAAAAUACGGGGCAGAGAGCAGUUCACGAUGAGGCUUGAGGCGCUCAGCACCAUUGAUGUAAUGAUGCAUGACUCAGCUGGACCACGGAGGUUCAUGGAUGUCAUGCUGUGCACACUGCAAGCAACGAGGAUCCACUUAAGGAGUGCGAGCAGGCCAUGGCCAGAGCCCAUGUUGGGAAGUUCCCUGUGGGAGCUUGGUGCCCAGCGGUUUGAACUGGAGGCUGGUUCAGGGGCUGAGACGGUCAUUGAGAAGGCCAGCAUCCAGGGAGCCAGUGUCAGAGCGCAGAGGAGGAGGUCUGAAACUAGAGAUGAAAUUGGAGAGGCUUGGUGACUGGAACUGGGGGCGAGGCGGAGAGAAGAGUCAGGGACGAUUUCCAGGUUCUGCGCUUGGACAACUGGCUAGGUGGUGAUGCCGCUGACUAGGGCAGAGAAUAAAGAAAAAGGAACAGUUUAGGGAGAAAGACGAUGUGUAUGAUGAUGUGCGUGUUGAGUCUGAGGGUUCUCCACCAUAAGGAGGUGGCGUUUGUGACUAAGUGGAGCCUUCAGGUUUGAAGACAGAGUCAGAGGUCAGUAACAUUGGGAGUGAGUUAAAACUGUGGGCUCCUUAAGGGGGGAGACUCUGUUUUUCUGUCUUCCCCCUAUUUUUAGUGCCUAGCUUGGGAACUGGCACAUAAUCAAUGCUCGAUAAACAGUUGCCCUUAUGUAAGUAUAAUGAUCAUCAUAAUCUAUGGUGUCUAUGAGAACGUGUGUGCGGAAGUGUGUCUGCAUGUGUGUGUGUGUGGUUACAGUGCUUUUUUUUUUUUUUUUUUUUAAAGAUUUUAUUUUUUCCUUUUUCUCCCCAAAGCCCCCCGGUACAUAGUUGUGUAUUCUUCAUUGUGGGUUCCUCUAGUUGUGGCAUGUGGGACGCUGCCUCAGCGUGGUCUGACGAGCAGUGCCAUGUCCGCGCCCAGGAUUCGAACCGACGAAACACUGGGCCUCCUGCAGCGGAGCGCGCGAACUUAACCACUCGGCCACGGGGCCAGCCCCUACAGUGCUUUUUAUAUGCUAGGCACUCUUCUAAGAUCCCUGCAGGCUUUAACUCUCGUUUCCUUCCUGAAGUAACACAUGAGGUAUGUACCACAGUUACCCGCACCUUAUAGACGGGGCCACUGAGGCACAGAGAGCCUGACUAACUUGCCUGCUUCCCAGAGCGGGAAGUGGUUGAGCUAGGAUUUAAAGCAGGGUGACCUGGCUUCUCUGUGCCUUUGGUCUAGUUUUUUGUUUUAAAUAAAAUUUUCCUUCUUUUAGCAAUUGGUAAAGAAAAAAUUUCAGCACACAAAAGGUUAAGCUCCAGCGGUUUGGAAGUUUUAUUCUUUCGUCUCACUUGGCAAAUGCACAUUCAUAUGACAAGAUUCAGCCUGAGCAUCACCGUCUUUAUGAACCUUUCCUUGGCCCCAGGUCUUUUCUUCCAAAGUUAAGCUCUCCUUCCUCUGGGCUCCCCUAUACCCUUAGGAUGCUGCCAUUAAAGUAUUUACCACUUUGUACUGAAUCUUUUUUUUUCUCAACUUGAAUCCUUCCUGAAGAUGGAGACUAGCGUUUGCUAAUUGAAUGAAUGAAGAAAAAAGGUUUUCCUCAUUUUACUGACAUUUGACAAAUAAGGUGUUAGCAUAGACAGCACACUUCCUGCUCUCUCCGAGCUUCCAGUGCAGCUGCAGGGACCACCACAGAAGGGCCACCUUCCCCCACACGCAGAACCUUGGAGUACGGUGUGUUGCCACAGGUCAAUCAGCCACAGCCGCUCCUCAUAGCAAGAGCCGAGCUUAGGGCCUCAUUGCCUCUGCCUCAUCCCGUGUCCAGGGAGGAAGUGAGGGGUGCUCCCACGAUGCCUGUAGGGGGACAUCCACGCGCUCCCCCAAAGCUGGAGCCCAGACAACAUAGACACCAGGUGCUGACACUGGAAAUCCGGGAAUUCCUUUAAUAUUCAAGAUCUCGGUUUCUUCUCUUUGAUGUAACGGGAUCUAGGAAUGCUCAGAACACCCCCUGAAACCCCUGUUUCCUAAAGACCUGUUUAUAUUAGUCCUUGCUCUGUGUUUAUUUGGGAGUAAAAUCCACGUUUGGAAUCCUCGCAGCAUAUGGUGAGUGUUUGCUGUACGGGGUGGGGUACCUGUUUCUGCAUCAUGUGACGAAAGUGCAGCAGCUGUAAUAUCUCAUUACAGGGCUUCACUUUAUUUAAUUAAAAAAAUAGCACUGCUCUACUUAACAAUAUUAUCCUCGUCCCCCACCCACCCGCAAAACCUGAUCUGCAGUUUCGAUGCCUCUGCCGUAAUCGCUUCGGACGGUCUGCACGUGACGUGGGUGAGCUCGAGGAUCGGCUUUCCAUCUCGUUGCUUCAGACGGUGCUUUCACUGUGAGCCAUUAGUCACCAGAUGCUGACAAGUGUUUGUACGGAUGCCAUCUCCCCCUUUGUUUAUAUGCAAGUGCAGCAACCGAAAUGAUUUAUUUAUGCCUUAAUUAAAAUUUGUGGAUAGACCAGUGAGUUUUAGCAGUGACUUUUCUAAUUUGUGGGUUCCAGAAAGAAAAAAAUCAAUAACCUGAUACCAUUUAUGUUUUUAUAGUUACCCAGGCAUUUAUAAUGCAGACCUGCCACUCACCUGCAGCCUCCCUUGGAGGAGAGUGGUCCUCGCCACAUAAAUCUCCCCCAGAGGCCGAGAGGGUCCAUAUUUCAGAGUCACUUCCCUUCUGUGUCAGCUGCGAGUGAGAUGUUACAUGCUUUCCAUUCUCAUGGUUCUCAUGGCAAGGCACAGGCUAAAAUUCACAUUGAAAGUAAAUUGAUGGACUGUAAGUUUUAUAAUACCUGACCCAAUCUGUAAUGACUGCUUAGAAUUUUAAUAAUUUAAGCCCAAUGAAUGUGAUUCCUGCAUAUCGCUCUCCACAUUGAGAAUGUACCCCAUAGGGUCUUUGGAAAGAACUUACCCCAAAUGCCGAGCUUUUAUGGGAACUUAAUAUAUUCGACAUUGCAGGUGCAUAAAUCUCCAUGAAAUUGCACCAAGUUAACGUAUUUACUGGUGCAUGCAAUUUAGUAACUACUUUGUAAAAGUCUAAAUAAAGAUAGAUAAGACAGGUAGAUAUGGAGAAAUAAUGAGUAAAUGUUCCAAUGUAUAUUAACAAGAUGAGUUAAUUGCCUUCGCAAGGCUAUCAGCCUCACUGGAAAAGAAUUAAUUAAUUUUCAAGGUGUUUGGGAUGGUUUUAAUUGCUGUUUCUCAAAGUCUGGGGGAAAUGAGCUGUUUUUGCAUUUUCUGCCAAACUCAAGUUAUUCUCUCCCCAAUAGUCAGAGCUGGGGGGUGCGAGGGGAGUGAUGACAAGCUGGGUGGAAAGAGAGAUGCUCAGUUUUGCUCGCCUCUCCCCCCGCCCCCCGGAGAUAAAGGCACAAGUAGCGAGGAAAAGCUCAUUUUAUUCAGAAAAUCCUCUUAAGAAGGACCCCGCUUGAGUUCCUGCAGCCUCCUCUUCUUCAGAAUACGAAUCUUCCGAAUCUUCCGCAGUCCAUGCUCACACUCAUGCGCACGUGUUUGACUUUUCCCCUUCUCUCCUGCCUCCCCCUUCCCUUAG